CACAGUGAACCUGGUGAAGGAGAACCCAGUGUACGCAGGUCACUACGACCUGCUGCGCAUGGUGUUGGACCAGCAGGGUCAGGGAGCCCUCCACAACCUGUUCGUCACCGUGUAUGACUGCUCUGGUGUUCAGCUGCAGUCUCGGCAGGGCCUCUGGAACCAAGAUUGGAGCGAGGGCUGUAGGGAUUGUCAUCGGUGUCAUGCUGCUACUGCUAGGUAAGUCAAUCUUAGGAGUAGGGUGAAGAUUCCCCUAGAUGUUAAUUGUGGGCCAGUUUUGCAUUUUCCCCACUAAUGGUUAAGGUURGGAUUGGGGGAGGGGAAGCUGAUCUUAGAUCUGUGCCUAGGGGAAACUUCACCACUGAUCUGAAUCUUACACUUGAGAAAGACAUGGCCUACAUCCCCACCUAGUGUUGAUUUGGUAUAGUUCAUUAGAACUUCAGUGUGUGUGGAGAUUUGUGAGUUCCUCCUAGGUUUUCURCUGUUGUCCCUCCUGUUGACCAGUAAAAGAGAACUGAAGCUGAUCCCUACAGAUGAAAACUCUGAAGAACGUCAGAUCAAAUCUAACAUUGAGAUCCCAGGAACUGAUUGCAAGGUGCCUACACGUAUCACACUCAAAGUGGACAGUCUGCUGGGAACAAAAGCUGCUUUUYUACCAAUGCUGUACAGAGGUCCGCCAGUAUGCGAGCAUCGGUAUGUUCAGGAUAAUCAGGGUAUUUUUCCUCAUACCAAUAGCAACAGGAACAGUUUCAACGAUUAACCUCUCUGCGCAAGGGGUCAAUGAUGAGCAGAUCAAUGAUGACAAAAACAAGAUACUCCUCAUGGGGAGAAAAUAAUUCUCUCAAUAACGCCAGGCCCUUGAUGACUCUACUCAAUCAUGUAACAAUGUGUAACAGUCAUAAACAAUCAUGACUGUGACAAAAAACAAACUGUUUCUAAUGUAUAUUUUUUAAAUCUAUCUGGUGAACUCUAUUCCUUCAUUAACCUUUUUGUGACCUCCAA